GAGGAAUAUUGGUCAAUGGGCGGAAGCCUGAACCAGCCAUGCCGCGUGCAGGACGACGGCCCUACGGGUUGUAAACUGCUUUUCCGGGGGAAGAAUAAGGCCCAUGCGUGGGCCGAUGCCGGUACCCCGGGAAUAAGGAUCGGCUAACUCCGUGCCAGCAGCCGCGGUAAUACGGAGGAUCCUAGCGUUAUCCGGAUUUACUGGGUUUAAAGGGUGCGUAGGCGGGCGUUUAAGUCCGCGGUGAAAGUCUGCGGCUCAACCGUAGGACUGCCGUGGAUACUGGGCGCCUUGAAUUCGGUCGAGGCGGGCGGAAUGCGUGGUGUAGCGGUGAAAUGCUUAGAUAUCACGCAGAACGCCGAUAGCGAAGGCAGCUCGCCGGGCCGAUAUUGACGCUGAUGCACGAAAGCGUGGGGAUCAAAC
rnacentral:rRNA from 1 species